GAGGAACUUUGGCGGCGCGCCUAACACAUGCAAGUCGAACGAGAGAGAGGGAGCUUGCUUCCUCAAUCGAGUGGCGAACGGGUGAGUAACGCGUGAGGAACCUGCCUCGAGAGGGGGACAACUGUUGGAAACGACUGCUAAUACCGCAUAACCCCACGGCUCGGCAUCGAGCAGAGGGAAAAGGAGCAAUCCGCUUUGAGAUGGCCUCCCGUCCUAUUAUCUAGUUGGUGAGGUAACGGCCCACCAAGGCGACUAUCGGUAGCCGGACUGAGAGGUUGAACGGCCACAUUGGGACUGAGACACGGCCCAGACUCCUACGGGAGGCAGCAGUGGGGAAUAUUGCACAAUGGGGGAAACCCUGAUGCAGCGACGCCGCGUGGAGGAAGAAGGUCUUCGGAUUGUAAACUCCUGUUGUUGAGGAAGAUAAUGACGGUACUCAACAAGGAAGUGACGGCUAACUACGUGCCAGCAGCCGCGGUAAAACGUAGGUCACAAGCGUUGUCCGGAAUUACUGGGUGUAAAGGGAGCGCAGGCGGGAGAACAAGUUGGAAGUGAAAUCCAUGGGCUCAACCCAUGAACUGCUUUCAAAACUGUUUUUCUUGAGUAGUGCAGAGGUAGGCGGAAUUCCCGGUGUAGCGGUGGAAUGCGUAGAUAUCGGGAGGAACACCAGUGGCGAAGGCGGCCUACUGGGCACCAACUGACGCUGAGGCUCGAAAGUGUGGGUAGCAAACAGGAUUAGAUACCCUGGUAGUCCACACCGUAAACGAUGAUUAUUAGGUGUGGGGGAUUGAACCCCUUCAGUCCGCCAGUUAACACAAUAAGUAAUCCCCCGGGGGAGUACGACCGCAAGGUUGAAACUCAAAGGAAUUGACGGGGGCCCGCACAAGCAGUGGAGUAUGUGGUUUAAUUCGACGCAACGCGAAGAACCUUACCAAGUCUUGACAUCCCUUGACGAACAUAGAAAUAUGUUUUCUCUUCGGAGCAAGGAGACAGGUGGUGCAUGGUUGUCGUCAGCUCGUGUCGUGAGAUGUUGGGUUAAGUCCCGCAACGAGCGCAACCCUUAUGGUCAGUUACUACGCAAGAGGACUCUGGCCAGACUGCCGUUGACAAAACGGAGGAAGGUGGGGAUGACGUCAAAUCAUCAUGCCCUUUAUGACUUGGGCUACACACGUACUACAAUGGCGUUAAACAAAGAGAAGCAAGACCGCGAGGUGGAGCAAAACUCAGAAACAACGUCCCAGUUCGGACUGCAGGCUGCAACUCGCCUGCACGAAGUCGGAAUUGCUAGUAAUCGUGGAUCAGCAUGCCACGGUGAAUACGUUCCCGGGCCUUGCACA
rnacentral:rRNA from 1 species